UACGUAGGGUGCAAGCGUUGUCCGGAAUUAUUGGGCGUAAAGAGCUCGUAGGCGGCUUGUCGCGUCGACUGUGAAAUCUCCGGGCUUACUCGGAACGGUCAAGUGAUACUGUCGGACUAGAGUACAGAAGGGGCAACUGGAAUUCUCGGUGUAGCGGUGAAAUGCGUAGAUAUCGAGAGGAACACCUGCGGCGAAGGCGGGUUGCUGGGCUGAUACUGACGCUGGAGGCGCGAAAGCCAGGGGAGCGAACGGG
rnacentral:rRNA from 1 species